AGCAAGCCAGGUGGUCGCGCAAACGAGGCUGAAAAGCCGUUUGUGAGGAAAGUCCGGGCUCCACAGGGCAAGAAUAACGGGUAACGCCCGCCGAGGGUGACCUCAGGAAAAGUGCAACAGAGAUAUACCGCCCCGUAUGCCGGUUGCGCCGGUGCACGGAGUAAGGGUGGAAAGGUGAGGUAAGAGCUCACCCCUUUCCCUGGUAACAGGGAGAGGCUGUAAACUCUAUUCGGAGCAACACCGUGGAAAGGACGCAUAUGGCCGGCCCGGCCGUCCUUAGGAGGUGGCUUGAGCACAUUGGCAACAAUGUGCCUAGAUAGAUGACUGCCAAAUACAGAACCCGGCUUAUAGACUUGCUCC
rnacentral:RNase_P_RNA from 1 species